rnacentral:rRNA from 1 species
GAUGAACGCUGGCGGCGUGCCUAAUACAUGCAAGUCGAGCGGUAAGGCUCUCACUCUGUACUUAAUGAUUUGAGUAUGGUGUGAGAGUACACGAGCGGCGGACGGCUGAGUAACGCGUAGGAAUGUACCCCAAAGUGAGGGAUAAGCUCCAGAAAUGGAGUCUAAUACCGCAUGUGAUCUUCGGAUUAAAGCUUUAUGCGCUUUGGGAACAGCCUGCGUCCGAUUAGCUAGUUGGUGAGGGUAAAAGCCCACCAAGGCGACGAUCGGUAGCUGGUCUGAGAGGAUGAUCAGCCAGACUGGGACUGAGACACGGCCCAGACUCCUACGGGAGGCAGCAGUAGGGAAUUUUCCACAAUGGGGGCAACCCUGAUGGAGCAACGCCGCGUGCAGGAUGAAGGCUUUCGGGUCGUAAACUGCUUUUCUCUGUGACGAUUAUGACGGUAACAGAGGAAUAAGGGUCUGCUAACUACGUGCCAGCCGCCGCCGUAAAAC